rnacentral:lncRNA from 1 species
UCAUAAUCUGUGUCACCACAUUCUCCAACAAAAACCACCAUCUUCGACAAGUCCACACCCCACCUAACAUAGAGGUACCUGAAAUUUUGUUUGACGCUUUUAGAUUUCUGUAGAUAACAAUGAAGUAUAAAGUUGAACACGUUGAAUGUUUAAUCAUGCAGGGAAAUAGAAAACAUUGGAAGAUUCAUCAAACAGACGAAGAGAAAUUUGAAUAGCAAAAGACAACAACUCAUUUAAUUAAUUUUUUUUUACAACAAACUAUUUAAUUUUGUUGAAUACCACAUUGUUGUCUGUAACACCAUGUGAUAUGAUUCAAAUUAGUCAGCAACAUAACUGGGAAGGCACCAGCAAAAAAGAGAUUUAGGAAGUGACCCACUCUGCUUGACUCUGGAUCUCCAGUCAUUGUUGCUGUUCCCACUUGCAAGCACAGAAUUUUUAGUCACCCACACUUAAUAUACCAGAACCAAGACCUCCAAGACACAUAGUUACUGAUCACACAUGAGAAAUGAAGGUUAAAAGUCCAAUAGGUCAAUUUAACCCACCACCUAACCACCUUUUCUUGCUUAUAUGAAGAAAAUCAAUAUUGCAGAUUACCAUUUGUAAAGGCUUAAUUGUCAUAGAUCUGUUACUUCCACC